GUGGGGAAUAUUGGUCAAUGGGCGAGAGGCUGAACCAGCCAAGUCGCGUGAGGGAUGAAGGUUCUAUGGAUCGUAAACCUCUUUUAUAAGGGAAUAAAGUGCGGGACGUGUCCCGUUUUGUAUGUACCGUAUGAAUAAGGAUCGGCUAAGUCCGUGCCAGCAGCCGCGGUAAUACGGAGGAUCCGGGCGUUAUCCGGAUUUAUUGGGUUUAAAGGGUGCGUAGGCGGCCUUUUAAGUCAGCGGUGAAAGCCUGUGGCUCAACCAUAGAAUUGCCGUUGAAACUGGGAGGCUUGAGUAUGUUUGAGGCAGGCGGAAUGCCUGGUGUAGCGGUGAAAUGCUUAGAUAUCACGCAGAACCCCGAUUGCGAAGGCAGCCUGCCAAGCCAUGACUGACGCUGAUGCACGAAAGCGUGGGGAUCAAACAGG
rnacentral:rRNA from 1 species